rnacentral:rRNA from 1 species
UACAGAGGGUGCGAGCGUUGUCCGGAAUCACUGGGCGUAAAGGGCGCGUAGGUGGUGGCUUAAGCGUGCGGUGAAAGCUCGGGGCUCAACUCCGAGUCGGCCGUGCGAACUGGGCUCACUGGAGCAUAGUAGAGGCAGGUGGAAUUCCGGGUGUAGCGGUGGAAUGCGUAGAGAUCCGGAAGAACACCGGUGGCGAAGGCGGCCUGCUGGGCUAUGACUGACACUGAGGCGCGACAGCGUGGGGAGCAAACAGG